CCCUACGCCCCUUCCAGAGGGGGACAACAGUUGGAAACGACUGCUAAUACCGCAUACGAUCUAAUCUCGGCAUCGAGGAUAGAUGAAAGGUGGCCUCUACAUGUAAGCUAUCACUGAAGGAGGGGAUUGCGUCUGAUUAGCUAGUUGGAGGGGUAACGGCCCACCAAGGCGACGAUCGGUAGCCGGACUGAGAGGUUGAACGGCCACAUUGGGACUGAGACACGGCCCAG
rnacentral:rRNA from 1 species